GGAAAUAAUCUUGUUAAUUUAGUGAAUUUAACCCAGUGGGCCAAGCAUCUGGUGAGCAGAGUGUGUGCUUGUAGUUGCAUCUUAGUUUUUCCUUCUUCUUUUUUCUCAGACUGUUAAUAUGUCUAACAUAGCACAGACUCACAGUUUGACUCAAAGGGUUCAUUUACUGAGCCCCCAUCCCUGCAAGGAGCCUUCACCCCUCUGCUGGAGGUGGAAAGAUUCCUGUGCCCAGAGCAUGGCUGGGGGACGUGGAGGGGCAGAGGCUGCAUGCAGGUAUCAUGGUCACCCUGGUCCCUGUGGCAUGAAGGUGAGGGAGCGCUACCCACCUAGCGAGAGCCUCCAGAGUACUACAGUAUGUACACGCUUCUCAUGUGUCCUGGCUCAUCCAAAGUGUCACUCUUGCACAGAAGACAUGGUUUUGAAGUACUGCUCUGUCACAAAGCUAGGCUCUUGGCCUCUUCACCUGCUGCUUGAGAGAUCUGCUCUUUUUACUAUUAAAAAAUUAAAUAAUUGUCAGCUGUGCUUCUCAAGAAAUACAUAAGAAUAAUCAUAAAUCUGAUUAUGCUAAUAAAUAUGAAAAUCACACAUAAGCAGCAUGACAGAUAUAAUUCCUUUUUAUUUUUCUGCUUUAACAC
rnacentral:lncRNA from 1 species